AAAUAAUCAACUAAUCGUCAAGCUUUGAUUAUUUGAAUCAGCUGUGUAGAGUUAGGGCAAAAAAACAAAACAUGCACCCCUUGGAAUCCCGAGGACCGAGUUUGGUAAACGCUGCCCUAACCUUAACCACUUAACCAAUUUAAAUGCAAACGUCAUUGGGGUGACGUCAGAGUUUGACGUCCCUAAGGACGCCGUAUUGCAAGGACCUAUAUCUCACCAAGACAACACGUCGGAAUCAACACAUUUAUAGGGAAGGAUCGCUAGACAGACCGUUUGUAAAGUGGUGAGUAGCCUACUAGCCUACCUACGAUAUUCUAUUUAAUGUUGUCGACUGACAUAUUAACAUAUGAAAUGGCUAAUUGAAAGGGGUAAUGGCACUGGUAAAUAGCCAACUGUUCAGGAAGAAGUGAGAUCAGUAUUGCGUAAAAUAUUAUGACCGAAGAACUGUUCUGAAUGUUAUGGAAUUUAUUGUAUUCGGACCCAAUGUUGUGCUAAUCGUGCCUGUAGCCGGAUUUCUGUUGGCUACAAAGUGAAUUAUUUCAUGAAACUUUAAAUGAACAAUUUAAAUCAUGCAGACUUUACUUUAGGCUGAGCAUUAAAAGUGAAACCACAACAACCAGAACAAUAUACAAGACAAUUCUGCGAAUGUGACAUCUCAUAAUGUUGAAUGAAGAACAUUUUAUAAAUCUAGACAGUUUUACAGUAGUGAAGAUAAUGCUAAUUAUUUGUUUUCUAUCUAUUGUAGAUAUCCGUCAUGGAGGUUACUGAGAAGGUGGUGCCCAAAAACGCCCAGCUGCUAUCUCUUGGCCACAAGGACACUUGUCGCCUCUUGGAGGUGUAUGUGAAGCGCAGCAUCAGUUUAAAUGAUGGGACAUGUGAGGACCAGAGGUCACCAACAACGCCUCAGAAGUGGGUGACACUGUCAGAGAAAUGCAGAAGGGUCCGCCGGCAUUCUAGUGACCCCUUGAUCACCUUGGAGCCCAGCACACCUGACGAGGGCAUUGCCAGUAGCACACCACCUGAUGAGGAAGUUGUUAUACCAAAUGUGUCUCUAGUAGAAAUCCCUGGACCUGCUGACAUUCCUGAGAUUGAGACUUCUACUGAACUGGAGAAUAAGUCUAAAAAGGGCAAGAAGAAGAGCAAAAAGACCUCUUUCUGGAAAGGUUUUCUGGGGGUUUUCACGACGAAGGGGAGUGACAAGAAAGACGAGCAGGAGUCUGGCACAGAGAAAGAUGGACAGUCACAAGGAACCUUGCAGAAAAAGAAAUCCAUAAGGCAAAGGAGCUCCAUGAGGAGGUUAUCUCUGAGAAAAAUCAAGAUUGACAGCCACAGAGGGUCUGUGAAGAGACCAUUGGCUUUGGACAGGGCCAAGACCACUGACAUAACUGGAGUUGAAUCGGUUGAGAGUGUGGGGCCUACUGACUCGUACUAUGAGAAAGUUUCAGAAGAGCUGGAGAAGAUUGUGCAUGAGGUGAAAGAGACAGAGGCAGCUCUUACAGAUGAGGAUGUCAUAAAAAGGAUCAUUGUUCUGAUGAAGCAGCAAGGAGACCUCAUUGAUAACAAGCUGAAGGAGAACGCCAGCUUGAGCUCAUUCUUCCAGAAGCUGUCCUACAGCACCUUCCAGCAGUUAGCUGAUACGUACGUGGAGACAGAGACACCUACACGCCAGAGCCACCAGACACCACACACUGCUGGAUCUGGGCCCGUCAACGCCCCGGAGCUGGUCAAGCUGGCCUUCACUCUGGACUUCACAGCCAGGGUGGCCUGUCUCUCCAGGCAUUCCAAAGGCCACAUCAUGGGCCUGGGCCACCGCUACUUAGAAGACCGCUUCACCCAGACACAGGUAACAACACCAGAGGCGAGUCAGAUCUUUUUUUCCUCUUCUAUUCAAAUAUAUGUAAUUAUGUGCAAGUAA
ensembl:lncRNA